rnacentral:lncRNA from 1 species
GGGAUGAAUGAUGGAUGUUAAACUAGAAAAAAAAAACACUUCAUGAUGAACACUACGCAACGAUGAACAACAGCAUUUAAAUAAAUAUAUUACAUAAAAAGAUGCAGGGCAUUAUACAACGAUUCGUAGUGAAUCAGUGAAUCAUUUUAAAAUGGUCCAUUUACAUGAAUGUGCAAACAAACCAAUUCACUAAAAUGAUUUGGAACACUACAUAGUUGAGCAAAAAACACUCUUCUUCUACUCACUGGGAAAAGGUAGCUUGUUACUGGAAAAAGCUAUACUAUUAUGAAAGCAGCUGAGCUACUGUCACAUUACUGAAAAUUGUAAUCCAUUGUUCCAUUGUUCUGACACAAAGCUGUUCCUUUACAUCACUUAAAAGGCAUUAUUUGUUUCUCUUCAAAUUGUGCACACAUUUCUUUAUUGUAACCCCUCAUGUCUGCUCAAUGUUUUUAGACGAGUAACAGUGGUCAGUGUGUUGGUGCACCAGGGAUGCCCGGAUUCCCAGGGACCGCAGGGGUCAAAGGAGAGCCGGGUCCUAGAGGUGAGCGAGGACCUCCUGGUCUUCCUGGAACCCCAGUAAGUUUCUACUUUGCCAGUUAUUUUCCAGAUUGUCUCCUAAAAGGUCAUUUCUGGCAGGGUUGUCUUUUUAGCCUACUUUUCUUAGAAACUGAGACAGAGUGACCCCAGAUGGCUUUCAGAGUGCAGUCCGUAUCAUAUAGAGACAAACUAAUGUUUCGCACUUUUUACAGAACUGCAGCAAACAGAGAACUGUUCUGCAUGACUUUAUUUAGUCACUAGUAUUUAAUCCCACAAAUGCAGUCUGUGUUUGCACUUUCUUUUAGGUUCAGUGUUUUCAGUUAGAAUGAACCAAGAAGGGAGAAGAGUAAAUUACUCUUUGCUGUGAGGUUAGAGAGGCCUCUACAGGUUUGCCCCAGAAUUGCAGAAUGCUUUCCAAAAUAGUCUCAAAUUUUUUCUAGUUUCACUGUCAUAUGUAUAUAUAUAUAUGACAUAAGCGUUGAACCAGUGAACCACACAAAUCUUUUUUUUUUUUCUGUGCUGUACAUUUCGUCUCACUUUACUAGUACCAAGUAUUCAAAAACUAGCAAAACAUGCUGUAUGACUGAGAAAUGAAGAGGAAGAUUGGAUGCAUGUGCGAGGGUCUUCUUUACAGGAUUGUUUAUAUUUGUUUGUUUCUUGUUUUUGUCCAUUGUAAAGGAAUAUAUAUUUUAACUGUUGCUCUCUUAUUAUCAUUGUUUAUUAGGGCAAUAUUGGUUUCCCUGGUCCUCAAGGGCCUCCUGGACUGCCUGUAAGUCAAUGCAUGCAAACUUAUGAUCAGCUCAGACGAACACAGAAGAUGUUUAAUUACCUCAGAAAACCAGCCCAUCUUCUCUGAAUGCCAUGACAGAGAAAUAAAACU